rnacentral:lncRNA from 1 species
UGUUGAUUUCACAGAAUCACAGAAUCGUUUAGGUUGGAAGGGACCUCUGGAGAUCAUCUAGUCCAACCUCCCUGUUCAAGCAGGGUCACCUAGAGCAUAUUGCCCAGGAUCACAUCCAGACGGCUUUUGAAUAUCUCCAGCGAAGGAGACUCCACCACCUCUCUGGGCAACCUGUUCCAAUGCUCUGUCACCCUCACAGUGAAGAAGUUUUUUCUCAGGUUCAGAAGUCUUUCGGUAGCAGGAAGACUAGAAUGCUCAGUGUGGCUAGCGUGUGCUGCUCCUGAGCACAGCGUGCAGAUGGCUCCGACUCCGCGCCGCUAUGGUGGUAGCGGAGUUUAUGCAAGUGACUGAAAGAUACUUGGCUUCUGCUCAUUCAUAUGUAUCGAGGUUUAUAUGCAGUCUCGUCUUUCCGAACAGCUGCCGCAGCAGAUCUCCCAUGGCAGAGAGGGGCCUAGAUCGAGUCAGCACCAAGACAGAAGUCCUCAGACUGGACACAGAAAUGCUCCAACCAAUGUGUGGCAAAGACAGAGUCUGGGAUGCAAAAUCAUCUCUGGUCAAGGAAGAGAGAAGUAAUACCGCCAGAACUGGCAGGUCAUCGUUGAAGAAUAAUCAAAGUCAGUGGCCACUUCAGCAUAUAAAGCAGGAAAUAGCGGGUACACAGCUCUGUUUUCACCCUGGGCAUCUUGAUCUGAGGUUUGGAAAAUCCAUGCAGAAGAUAAGCAAGACUUCACUCUGUUGCCUGGGCAGCUGGUGGAAGAGUCCAUCUAGCGUGCUGGUUUCCGGGAGGCUAUGCGGUGUGGUCAAGAGAAGCAAGCACAUCGUGUGCUUGCAGAUGGCAUGCAAAUGUUCUCCUGUUAAAGCUACAACUACUGGCUUCGACGCAGAAUCAUAA